CUCCAUUUCUGGUUUUUCAAAUUUUUGUAUCUUUUGUUUUUUUGGUUUUGUUGUUUUGUAUGUUAUAUAAUCGCACAUAACUGCAGUGAGAACUCAAUUACAAGAGUUGCCUUACGAAUAACAAUAAUAAUAACUACUAUUAUUGUAAUGGUUAUGUUUUUUAUUGUUAUUAAUAUUAUUGUCUCUCUGAUCACUUUAGCUCUUUAAUUUUGUCUGGACUCCUUCAUUUCGGGUUCUAUAACUAACGUAGCGUCAUUUCUAGGAAAAAACAUCUCACUGUAUUUCAACAACAACAACAACAAUUAUCAUUAAGCUAUUGUGAUAGUAGAUGGCUUAUCCCGCAAAUGGCUAGAAUAAGAUAAUCGAUAACAGCAAACGAAGUGUCCUUUUCUGGAGAAUUAGUUUUGUUGAGAUACGUCUUGCCUGCCUGACCCCAGGCUGCAAGGCCGAAUGUUAAAUAGGGAUGGAUUAAUGAUUUAUAAAUAUUUAAUAGCAUUUUCCAAGGAACAUAAUGGCAUAGUUUUGCAAUAAGCCCAACACUUUUACUCGUCUUUGUAGCAGUAGCAUCAAUAUGGUGCCUCCAGGAGAGAUUUUAAUCCAUUAGGACACCAAGGUACUUGAUGUAAACUUUAGACUCGAGAUCAAAAUAUUUACUUUGCUCAUUAUAAAACAUGCAAUUUUUUGGCUGGCA